CCCUUAGAUGUUCUGGGCCGCACGCGCGCUACACUGAUGCAUUCAACGAGCCUAUCCUUGACCGACAGGUCCGGGUAAUCUUUGAAUCUGCAUCGUGACGGGGAUAGAUUAUUGCAAUUAUUAAUCUUCAACGAGGAAUGCCUAGUAGGCGCAAGUCAUCAAUUUGCAUUGAUUACGUCCCUGCCCUUUGUACACACCGCCCGUCGCACCUACCGAUUGAAUGGUCCGGUGAAGCCUCGGGAUUGUGGCCAGUUCACUUUAUUGGGAGUUGGCUGCGAGAACUUGUCUAAACCUUAUCAUUUAGAGGAAGGUGAAGUCGUAACA
rnacentral:rRNA from 1 species